UUUCCGUAGGUGAACCUGCGGAAGGAUCAUUACUGUAUAACCGAGGUGCGAGGCCUGUCGCUGACCCUAAAGGUCGUCCGAGCCCGAGUGCCCUCACACACAUCCACCUCACCCCUCUGUGCACCACCGCGGGGGUCCCCCAUUCGCCUUUUUGGAGGGGGGCUUCCGUUUUCACAUCAACUUAAUCUUCAAACAAGAAAGUAUUUUUUGUUUUUGCGAACAAGCAAUCAAUAAAACUUUCAACAACGGAUCCCUUGCUCCACGCAUCGGUGCAGAACC
rnacentral:misc_RNA from 1 species